GAGGGUCCGUCUGUCUCUUACAAUAAAUCAAUUAAACUGAUCUCCUAGUAAAAAAGCUAGAAUCCACACACAAGACCAAAAGACCCUGUGAAGCUUAAACUAAACUAUUAAACCCUAUAAUACCUACUUUCGGUUGGGGCGACCUUGGAAAAAAAAAGAACUUCCAAACACAUGACCACACUCAUCAUUCACGGCCCACAAGCCUUACAAUAGACCCAGUACAGCUGAUAAUUGAACCAAGUUACUCCAGGGAUAACAGCGCUAUCUUCUUCAAGAGUCCAUAUCAAAAAGAAGGUUUACGACCUCGAUGUUGGAUCAGGACAUCCUAGUGGUGCAACCGCUAUUAAGGGUUCGUUUGUUCAACGAUUAAUAGU
rnacentral:rRNA from 1 species